CUUUACGGUCAUUGGAAGCCAUGAAAAUAUCCAUGCCUUAAAAAAAAUGUAAAUCAUGAGGGAGGUCCAAGAUCCCACCAGUGGGGAAACCCCUGGCCUGUUUACAUUCCUGCCAUCAAGGGAAAUAUGAGCACUUUCCAAAGUACUUUGAGCGCCCCAAAGUGACUCAUGACUUCCUCUCCAGAAGAAGAUUAUUUACAUGUGACGAUAAUUCAAGACUUGCUCCUCUGAAGUGUCUUCAGCCAGUUCCUCUUUUCCCUCCUCCGCCGUUUGAUGUUGGCCUAUCCCGAUAAGACCGGAUGAGUGCCCCGAAAAUCCCCCAAGAACAGGACUCCGUUAAUCAAUGUCUCGACUGGAUGUGGACCCUCCUGCCUGGAGGACGCCUCGCAGAGUGUUUGAGCCUACCGGGGCUAACAAAUCACCAGGACGCCAUCAAACGGCCCACCCUCGAGAACCUCCUCCUCAAUCACCGCUCAAGGAAAGGCUCAUGGGAAGACCUGAAUGCUUGGCCUCCGUGAAGGAUUAAGGACGAGGCGACAUUUUUCCGCCAAUCCCAGCAGUUUUUCUCUUCACACAAAAGCAUUCGGACCGCCACAUUCUCUCGCUGGCCCAAGCAAACACUCUGAUCAUGGAUAUGAGAUGAGAAAAUAAUCAUGGAUGAAAAAAUAUUUUGCAUUUUUCCCAUCAUCCCUUGUAAUUGAUUUCAAUGGUUGCUACUUUGAUUUUUUUUUUAAUAUCCACAAGGUUGAGAGAGCAGGUUGGGUUAUGCAUGUUUGUUAAAUUUUUGUGCUGGUUGAUUUUUUUUUUCCUGCACCAUGACUUGGGAAGGUUGUUUGAUUUGGGUCAUAUAAAUAAAUGCUGUGAUGCA